AUUGAACGCUGGCGGCAGGCCUAACACAUGCAAGUCGAACGGUAACAGGAAACAGCUUGCUGUUUCGCUGACGAGUGGCGGACGGGUGAGUAAUGUCUGGGAAACUGCCUGAUGGAGGGGGAUAACUACUGGAAACGGUAGCUAAUACCGCAUAACGUCGCAAGACCAAAGAGGGGGACCUUCGGGCCUCUUGCCAUCGGAUGUGCCCAGAUGGGAUUAGCUAGUAGGUGGGGUAACGGCUCACCCAGGCGACGAUCCCUAGCUGGUCUGAGAGGAUGAACAGCCACACUGGAACUGAGACACGGUCCAGACUCCUACGGGAGGCAGCAGUGGGGAAUAUUGCACAAUGGGCGCAAGCCUGAUGCAGCCAUGCCGCGUGUAUGAAGAAGGCCUUCGGGUUGUAAAGUACUUUCAGCGGGGAGGAAGGGAGUAAAGUUAAUACCUUUGCUCAUUGACGUUACCCGCAGAAGAAGCACCGGCUAACUCCGUGCCAGCAGCCGCCGUAA
rnacentral:rRNA from 1 species